CUCCUCUUCCAUUUUUCCUUUUAUGAUGUGUCUUUGAGACUGUCUUCUUUUCAUUUGAUCUUAUGUAAGCAGUUCUGGCAGCCCCAAAGAGCAGGGUGCAGCCAAGAACGCUUUAAGCAAACCACGUGGCUUAUUGCUAUCUUGCGGCUUCAAACUCUUUUCCAGAGGCAGGCCCUGGGCCAGUUACCAGGCGAGCCGAUGAAAAAGAGCACAAGAUUGCAAAGGAUGGCCGCCUUCCAGCUGCGUGCAAUUCGAGGCCUCGCUGAUGUCCACCAAGCACGUGCCCCUUCUUUCUGUGGGCAAACCGCGUCGAAGGCAUGUCCGCAGCGAUUCAUCCCCGGCUGGAGCAUCUCUCUGCCCUGAUCUGUGCCUUCGAGGAAAGGACUGCAGUCCAGCUGUGACACACCUGCCUGCCUGAAGGCCCCAGGGUCAAGUUCGCACGUCUCCAGUUAGGAUCUUGGGUGUCUUCCAGGACUGGCCUUCCCAGGUAGGAAGGUGAAGAAUCUGGCUCAGGCUCUGAAGAGCAGGGAGAUUUUUCUGCAUGAAGAACUUGGUAUAUUAAGAGAAGAAGAAAGCAAAACUCUGGUGUUCAAGGAAACAGCCCUCACUUGGAAGGAAUGCCAAAGGCGAAUCCGUCUGUGGAAGGUGCUCUCCAUCCAAAGGACUGUGAAUGCCGAACCUGAUCUAAAGGUUUCAUACAGGGAUUAUCUCAUUUCUGCUCUCCCUAAAGUGCUCUGGAAGCCUUCACUGAAGAGCACGGUAAGAUCACUUCCAAAAAGAAAUGAUAAUUUAACAUAUGCAAAUGUCAUCAAAUCCAUAACCCCCUUGGUCCGCUUUUUGACAAUGCAGAAAAGCAGAGUAGAAUAGACAAUGCAGGGUAGUCUUUUUAUGCUGUGCAAGUGACGACUCUCCUCUUCCGUGGCGCAUGUGACCCAAUCAGGCUAAACAUUGUUCUUGACCAAACACAACCCUUUGUAGGAUGCUAUUUCAGAGACUUCAGCUGGGCAAGCAACCAAAUCAAUCGAGGAAACCCAGAGCUUGGGGUUCAAGAGAUGCAAGGAUUAUGCGGCACACAGAAAAUUAGAUGGGGCGGCAAUUCUUUAAAAAUAAAGCCGGAGUUUAAGAAGACUUCUGGAAGGGAUGACACAACCUCCCCCGUAAUAACAGGGAAAUUAAUGGCAGAAAUACACCCACUGCCUGCUAAUUACAUGCGCCUCGAAGUUGCUAAUGGCUCUGUUAGUGAAGGGCUGCUCUGAGGAAAAGGAGGACUCAUCAACCCCAAUGCCUGCAGAGUUUUCAUUAAUGCAUGUGCUCCUUCUCGCGACAUUUACGUGUUCUGCACGUUCUACGUCGGAAGCCUUAACCACUGAGGAGAAGCUGUCGGACAAGCAAUGUUUGACAAAUUUGCUCUUUGGGUAUUCCUAUAUGACUUUUUAUCUUAUUUUUUAAAAUCGUAUCUCUUACAGCUCCAUCCCUCCUGACAGACAUUGCUCUCAGGCCGGUUCGCAACAAUUAAAACCAUAAAACAUGCUUCAAGACACAAUAUAGAAGUUUAAAGGUUUACAGCUACAGGAUGUAACAGAAACAUGAGCCCAAAACAAAAUGAGAAGCAAGGCAGGGAUUUAAAAUACAGCGGGGACACUAUCCUACCGGAAUGUCUGGCUGGCACUUUGUGAACCGAGAGAAUUACAUGCCUCCUACGCUCGACGGGGAGAUUACAGAGCCGAAGGAUGCCAACGCAUACCUCCUGCCACGCAAAAUAACCAGGGGGCACUCUGGAGAUGAUGAGAGAUGGUGGGCGCUGGAAUUUUGGAGCCCCAGCUCAGAGAUCCUGCGAAUUUGGAGCUAGGCUCCUGAAAGCCAAACCCCACCGGCCUUUUUUGGACCCCACAAGCAUGAAAAGAACUUUGUUUGCCUGUCUCGAGCCGCAAAGGCAUCUUGGAGGGGAGGGAAAGGGGACUGCCAGAGACUGGAGCAUGGAUGCCGGUUUCUAUCAGUGCUCGUAUCUCCUUUUUCUCCCCUCCCCGGAGCUUCAUGGAGAUGCUAAAGAUGGCAUGUAUGUAAGAAUCAGGGCAUGAAGAACAGCAAAGGCUGGGAUGCACAUUGGACCGCAAGUUUGGGGGUUUCUGUGCAGCCAGACCGGGGGCGAAGAGAGCCAGCUGUUGCUUCGAGGUGGCCUGCACAGAAAUGCCCAGGGUGCAGGAGAGCCAGUGAAAUCUGCAAACCUGAGCUGCUGCUGCAAGCGCCAUCCAAGGCACCGAGAUGGAAAGUUUGGAGAGGAGAUUAAUUGUCUCUCCCUUGCAGCUCUUCAGGUUGGCCAAGGGCCCGUCUGUGGUGACAUUUCGUGAGUCAGGCAUGAUGGAUGGGGACCUGUGGAUGGAAGGGUUACCUUGAGCCUUUCCCAAACACACACACACACACACACCACACAGAGAGACAGACAAAGAAAUGGAGCUGGGCUAGGACCAAGAGCAGGAAUGAAUAAUGUCAUUUUAAAUGCUACUCAAAAGCCAGCCGUUCCAGGCCGAAAUGUAAACUGUGGAGGAGAAAUGUACAAAAGGCACCCGGCCUGUUUAAUUUAGAAUCAUAAUAAUCCAGACUCUUGGUAAUGCAGAAGAAAUGCACCUGUCAAGGGGAAAAAUUGGAUCCAUUUGGACUGUCUGCCUUCAUCUCGCUUUCAGCCUGGCGUGAUGCCAUCGGUGAGGUAGAGACAACUGUUUUUCCACACUGGUCCUUUUUAGUAAUGCUGCAUCAGUUCAGAGGGAGACAGAGGAGGGAAUGUGCUUGUGGAACUCAUGACCACUUGAGGAACUGAGCCCAGGUUCUGAAAAAAGGGUUUAGAUCCAUUCAGAAAGGGCACUGGGAGAUUGCCACAGUCCGACAGUCUCUUAACAAUGCUAGGUGGCCACACAUUUGUUCAGAUGUGCUCUGACCUCAGAGCUGGGCAUCUGCACCGGGUUCCCCCACUUUGCAGCAGGAACUGCAGUGGCUAAUUUUCUGAAGCUUCCUGAGCAACCUCAGACAAGAUAUUAUGCCAGGCCAGGCAUGAAAAGGCAGAAUAAGGCUCUUCCAUGUGUAGGUAUCAUGGAAUCAUUGGAGUCCCUUUUUCGAAUUUGUUUCUUUUGUGGCACAGUUGGGAAAUUUACUGAUUCCAUUAAAUUAUAGAAAUGAAAUCCCCGAGACUCUUGAAUAGACCAGAACCAGUACCGAGGAGCUGAAUGGCCACCUUAAAUGAGUUUGAGCCGAAGGUGUCUUGAGUGACUUAAUAAUCAUUCUGUUUCAUGUCAUUGAUUAUAUUUUUAUAUUGCCCAAGAGCUGAAGGGAAGUCUACAAAGAUGAUCGCUAUUAAAAUGCAUGUAAAAACCA